AAUUAAUGAUGAGUUGUGAGAGGUCCUCGUUCGUAGUAAUGGCAUACUAUUUGCUUUGCCAACUAUACUGUUAUAUCACCACUCAUAACCCAUAAAC